rnacentral:rRNA from 1 species
UACGUAGGGUGCGAGCGUUAAUCGGAAUUACUGGGCGUAAAGCGUGCGCAGGCGGUUAUGCAAGACAGAUGUGAAAUCCCCGGGCUUAACCUGGGAAUUGCAUUUGUGACUGCACGGCUAGAGUGUGUCAGAGGGGGGUAGAAUUCCACGUGUAGCAGUGAAAUGCGUAGAGAUGUGGAGGAAUACCGAUGGCGAAGGCAGCCCCCUGGGAUAACACUGACGCUCAUGCACGAAAGCGUGGGGAGCAAACAGG